UACAGAGGGUGCGAGCGUUGUCCGGAAUCACUGGGCUUAAAGCGUGUGUAGGCGGAUUUGUAAGUACCUUGUGAAAUCCCACGGGCUCAACCGUGGAACUGCUUGGUAUACUGCUUAUCUUGGGCCAUCUAGGGGCUACCGGAACAAGUGGUGGAGCGGUGAAAUGCGUAGAUAUCACUUGGAACGCCAAUGGUGAAAACAGGUAGCUGGGGAUGGUGCCGACGCUGAGACGAACGACCAGGGGAGCGAACGGG
rnacentral:rRNA from 1 species